CUGCGGUCUCCUCUGAUUUGCUGACCGACUGUGGACAUAGUAGACCGUUCAGUCCGGGAUGGAGAUGCUGCAGGAACAGGCCCCUGGUGAUGGAUAAGGAUGUUUCUAUUUCCUCUGGACCGUCCUGACAGUUCAUCCAUCCUUAAACAAUUUGGCAGUGCCCUCAGAGCCUGAGAAAGCUGCAAGAAAAGAUGGGCUGCACAACUGACAGUAGCUUUAAUGAAAGACUCAUUGGAGGCUCCAGGCGAGGAGGAGGAGGAGGAGGAGAGUGGUUUCACUGUCCGGGAUGGAUGGAAGAAUAACAUGCUGUCAGAUAACUACCACAGCCUUGCACAUGACGACUGUGGAGUCGACGAACAUGAGGAUGGCCUGUUGAAACAGUGUUGUUUGACAGCCGGGAGCGCAGAGGUCUGCGGACUGACAACUACACAUACUGUAUGUGAGCAAG